rnacentral:lncRNA from 1 species
GCCUUAUGGAUGGGUUGUGACUGCUUGACACAGCUUUACAGUUUCUCCCCUGACUGCUGUGCUUUCAUACCUCAUUAUUCAUGUUUAUUCUGAGGCCAAAUUUAAAAACUUAUGUAUGAGACAGUGUAAGAUGGACUUUUUUAUAUGUUCUUAUCAUGUAUCUACAGCCCAAGCUGCUCUUUCCUUUGGGACUUCAGUGAUCUGGGGCCUAAGAGAACAUCGUAAAAGCUCCCCAGCUUUCAGCAUCCUGGAUGCCAACUCUUUU